rnacentral:rRNA from 1 species
UACGGAGGAUCCAAGCGUUAUCCGGAAUCAUUGGGUUUAAAGGGUCCGUAGGUGGAUAAUUAAGUCAGAGGUGAAAUCCCACAGCUCAACUGUAGAAUUGCCUUUGAUACUGGUUAUCUUGAGUUACUAUGAAGUAGUUAGAAUAUGUAGUGUAGCGGUGAAAUGCAUAGAUAUUACAUAGAAUACCAAUUGCGAAGGCAGAUUACUAAUAGUAUACUGACACUGAUGGACGAAAGCGUGGGGAGCAAACAGG